GCCUGGCUGGCUCAGUUGGUAGAGUGUGAGACUCUUGAUCUUGGGGUUGUCAGUUCGAGCCCCACGCUAGAUG
rnacentral:tRNA from 1 species